rnacentral:rRNA from 1 species
GCAAGUCGAACGCGAACGUUUCCUUCGGGGAACUAGUAGAGUGGCGCACGGGUGAGUAACGCGUAAGUAAUCUACCCUCGCAUUCGGGAUAACCCACCGAAAGGUGUGCUAAUACCGGAUACGUCUCAUUUAAUAUCUUUUGAUGAGAGAAAGGUGGCCUCUUGAAUCAAAGCUACUGUGCGGGGAGGAGCUUGCGUACCAUUAGCUAGUUGGUAGGGUAACGGCUUACCAAGGCGAUGAUGGUUAGCGGGUCUGAGAGGAUGAUCCGCCACACUGGAACUGGAACACGGACCAGACUCCUACGGGAGGCAGCAGUGAGGAAUAUUGCGCAAUGGGGGCAACCCUGACGCAGCGACGCCGCGUGGAUGAUGAAGGCCUUCGGGUUGUAAAAUCCUGUCAGAUGGGAAGAAGUGUGUAUCACCCAAUACGUGAUACAUUUGACGGUACCAUCAAAGGAAGCACCGGCUAACUCCGUGCCAGCAGCCGCGGUAAUACGGAGGGUGCAAGCGUUGUUCGGAAUUACUGGGCGUAAAGCGCGCGUAGGCGGCUAGAUAAGUCAGAUGUGAAAGCCCGCGGCUCAACCGUGGAAGAGCAUUUGAAACUGUCUAGCUUGAGUACUGGAGGGGGUAGUGGAAUUCCCGGUGUAGAGGUGAAAUUCGUAGAUAUCGGGAGGAAUACCGGUGGCGAAGGCGACUACCUGGCCAGAUACUGACGCUGAGGUGCGAAAGCGUGGGGAGCAAACAGGAUUAGAUACCCUGGUAGUCCACGCCGUAA